rnacentral:rRNA from 1 species
GACGAACGCUGGCGGCGUGCUUAACACAUGCAAGUCGAACGGAAAGGCCCUGCUUGCUGGGUACUCGAGUGGCGAACGGGUGAGUAACACGUGGGUGAUUUGCCCUGCACUUCGGGAUAAGUCUGGGAAACUGGGUCUAAUACCGGAAAGGAGCCAUGUUUAGUGUGAUGGUUGUAAAGUUUUUUCGGUGUAGGAUGAGCUCGCGGCCUAUCAGCUUGUUGGUGGGGUAAUGGCCUACCAAGGCGGCGACGGGUAGCCGGCCUGAGAGGGUGGACGGCCACAUUGGGACUGAGGUACGGCCCAGACUCCUACUGGAGGCAGCAGUGGGGAAUAUUGCACAAUGGGCGCAAGCCUGAUGCAGCGACGCCGCGUGGGGGAUGACGGCCUUCGGGUUGAAAACUCCUUUCGCUAGGAACGAAGCUUUUUGUGACGGUACCUAGAUAAGAAGCACCGGCUAACUACGUG